AGGAUGAACGCUGGCGGCGUGCCUAAAACAUGCAAGUCAUACGGGCUACCUUCGGGUAGCCAGUGGCAAACGGGUGAGUAACACGUGGGAACGCGCCUUGGGGUGGGGAAUAACGCUGAGAAAUCAGUGCUAAUACCGGCAUAUGGUCUAACGACUAAAGCAGCAAUGCGCCCCGAGAGCGGCCCGCGACCGAUUAGCUAGUUGGUGGGGUAAUGGCCUACCAAGGCGGUGAUCGGUAGCUGGUCUGAGAGGAUGGUCAGCCACACUGGGACUGCGAACGGCCCAGACUCCUACGGGAGGCAGCAGUUAGGAAUUUUCGGCAAUGAACGAAAGUCUGACCGAGCGACGCCGCGUGGAGGAUGACGCCUUUCGGGGUGUAAACUCCUUUUCUGCGGGAAGAUAAUGACGGUACCGCAGGAAUAAGCACGGCUAACUACGUGCCAGCAGCCGC
rnacentral:rRNA from 1 species